GCAGUGAUGAAUUUUUCGAGUUUGAUCGGUAAACACCUGAAAUGACAGAUUCUCUAAGAAGUUCUGAGCUC